AUGGCCGGCGGCGAGGGGGCUGCGGCAGUGAUGUGCACCCCGGCGUUCGUGGGGCGGGUGCUGCGCAGCCGGUGGUACGUGGUGUUCGCGUCCAUGGUGGUGAUGGCGGCGUCCGGGUCGACCUACAUCUUCGCGCUCUACUCCAAGGAGCUCCGGUCUGUGCUGGGGUACAACCAGCAGACGCUCAACACGCUCGGCUUCUUCAAGGACCUGGGCACCAACGUCGGCGUCGUCUCCGGCCUGGUGCAGCAGGUGGCGCCCACCUGGGCCGUGCUCCUCAUCGGCGCCGGCAUGAAUUUGGCGGGGUACCUCAUGGUGUACCUAGCGCUGACUGAGCGCACGGCGGCGCCGCCCGUCUGGCUCAUGUGCAUCUACAUGUGCGUCGGCGCCAACGCGCUCACCUUCUCCAACACCGGCGCGCUCGUCGCCUGCGUCAAGAACUUCCCCGAGAGCCGCGGCAUCGUCAUCGGCCUGCUCAAGGGCUUCGUCGGCCUCAGCGGCGCCAUCUACACGCAGCUCUACCUCGCCAUCUACGGCGACGACGCCAAGUCCCUCGUCCUCCUCAUCGCAUGGCUCCCCGCCGCCGUCUACAUCUUCUUCGUCCACACCAUUCGCGUCCUGCCCUACCGGCGACGCGCCGAGGGCGAUGAGCCCAACAGCAAGCCCUUCUUCUGCUUCCUCUACAUCUCCAUCGCGCUCGCCACCUACCUCCUCGUCAUGAUCGUGGUGCAGAAGCAGGUGCCCAGCUUCUCCCACGCCGCCUACGCCGUCGGCGCCACCGUGCUCCUCCUCAUCCUCUUCCUCCCCCUCGGCGUCGUCAUCAAGGAGGAGUACGCCGCCGUCUCCCAGCUCGAGGAGUCUCUCCAGCAGCCGCCGGCCAUCGCCGUCGAGGAACCAGCUGCAGCAAGCACGAAGAAAGAGGACGACGAGCCGUCGUGUGGUAUGAAGGGCUGCUUCACCAACAUGUUCAAGCCGCCGGCGCUGGGGGAGGACUACACCAUCAUGCAGGCGCUGGUGAGCGUGGAGAUGCUGGUGCUCUUCGUCGUGUCGGUGUUCGGCAUCGGCGGCACGCUCACGGCCAUCGACAACAUGGCGCAGAUCGGCCAGUCGCUGGGCUACCCGCACAAGAGCAUCAACACCUUCGUCUCCCUCAUCAGCAUCUGGAACUACGCCGGCCGAGUUGGCGCCGGCUACAUGUCUGAGUUCUUCGUUGCCCGGUACAGGUUCCCGCGGCCGCUGGCACUCACGGCCGUGCUCCUCUUCUCCUGCGUCGGCCACCUCCUGAUCGCCUUCGGCGUGCCGCAGUCCCUCUACGCCGCGUCGGUGAUACUUGGUUUCUGCUUCGGCGCGCAGUGGCCGCUGCUCUUCUCCAUCAUCUCCGAGGUCUUCGGCCUCAAGUACUACUCCACGCUCUUCAACUUCGGCUCCGCGGCCAGUCCCAUCGGCGCCUACGUGCUCAACGUGCGCAUCGCCGGCCGCAUGUACGACGCCGAGGCCGCCAGGCAGCACGGCGGGCACGCCGCCGCCGUCGGCGACAAGAUCUGCAAGGGGGUGAUGUGCUUCAAGCACGCGUUCCUCAUCAUCACGGGGGUCACGCUCGCCGGCGCGCUCGUCUCGCUCGUGCUCGUGUGGAGGACCAGAAACUUCUACAAGGGUGACAUCUAUGCCAAGUUCAAGGUGGCGCCCGUCGUCGCAGCCGCCGAUUAUCAAGGAGGGGAGACGGUGGAGGGCAGCGUCGUUACAGAGGAGGACGAGGCAAAGAAGCAGGGGAAGAACAAGAAACUGCAGGAGGUCAACAAUGACGAGUUCAAGUGA
rnacentral:rRNA from 1 species